UCCAGGGUAGUCUAGUGGACAUGGCAUCUGCCCGGUAAGCGGUAAGCAUGUUCUCCGCACACAAUAUCCUUAAUACAAUAUAAUGCGGCUUAUGAUUGUAGAACGACAUUUGAAAAUUAUCCCUCAUGUGUUUCUUUUAAACGAAAAAUCAAAAUUUAUUUUAUGGAGAAAUAACGAUUAUUUCUAACCUUAGGGAUGAAGUAUGAAAGGAUGAAUUGUAAACAGUAAUGAUAAACGGAAAAAUAAAAGUGUCCAGGGAUCGUGGGUUCAAUUCCCAUCCCUGGAC
rnacentral:tRNA from 1 species